rnacentral:rRNA from 1 species
UGAUCCUGGCUCAGGACGAACGCUGGCGGCGUGCUUAACACAUGCAAGUCGAGCGGAGUAAAGAGGGGCUUGCUUUUCUUUACUUAGCGGCGGACGGGUGAGUAACACGUGGGCAACCUACCCUAUGGAGGGGAAUAACAGGGAGAAAUCUUUGCUAAUACCGCAUAGAUCCAAAGUUUUGCAUAAAGCUUUGGAGAAAGGAGAAAUCCGCCAUAGGAUGGGCCCGCGUCCCAUUAGCUAGUUGGUGAGAUAACAGCCCACCAAGGCGACGAUGGGUAGCCGACCUGAGAGGGUGAACGGCCACAUUGGAACUGAGACACGGUCCAGACUCCUACGGGAGGCAGCAGUGGGGAAUAUUGCACAAUGGGGGGAACCCUGAUGCAGCAACGCCGCGUGAGCGAUGAAGGUCUUCGGAUUGUAAAGCUCUGUCUUCGCUGACGAUAAUGACGGUAAGCGAGGAGGAAGCCACGGCUAACUACGUGCCAGCAGCCGCGGUAAUACGUAGGUGGCGAGCGUUGUCCGGAAUUACUGGGCGUAAAGGGUGCGUAGGCGGUUUUUUAAGUGGGAUGUGAAAUCCUGAGGCUUAACUUCAGAAUUGCAUUCCAAACUGGAAGGCUAGAGUACAGGAGAGGAAAGCGGAAUUCCCAGUGUAGCGGUGAAAUGCGUAGAGAUUGGGAGGAACACCAGUGGCGAAGGCGGCUUUCUGGACUGUAACUGACGCUGAGGCACGAAAGCGUGGGGAGCAAACAGGAUUAGAUACCCUGGUAGUCCACGCCGUAAACGAUG